AUUGCAGACCGUUCUAUCGUUCCGUAUUAAUGCGGAAAGGAAAGUCCGGGCAACACAGGGCACCAUUCUUCCUAACGGGAAGAUAUCUGAAAAGAUAUGGUAAGUGUAACAGAAAAUAACCGUGCCGUCUUUGGCGACACAAGGGUGAAAAGGUGGAGUAAGAGCCCACCGGUAUUGGUGGUAACAUCAGUAGCCGUACACCCAAUGGGUUGUAAAAUCAAAUAUACCGGCGCAAAAGGGCGGCCCGUCCAAGCCGGGGGGUAGAUUGCAGGAGCAUAUUAGUGAUAUUAUGCCAAGAUAAAUGAUAGAAAUUCAUCAAUUGGCGAGCCUGCUGAUGAAUACAGAACCCGGCUUAUAGGUCUGCUUAUUUU
rnacentral:RNase_P_RNA from 5 species